rnacentral:rRNA from 1 species
UGGGGAAUAUUGCACAAUGGGGGGAACCCUGAUGCAGCGACGCCGCGUGAGCGAAGAAGUAUUUCGGUAUGUAAAGCUCUAUCAGCAGGGAAGAAGAAAGACGGUACCUGACUAAGAAGCCCCGGCUAACUACGUGCCAGCAGCCGCGGUAAUACGUAGGGGGCAAGCGUUAUCCGGAUUUACUGGGUGUAAAGGGAGCGUAGACGGCUGUGCAAGUCUGAAGUGAAAGCCCGUGGCUCAACCGCGGAACUGCUUUGGAAACUGUAUAGCUUGAGUACUGGAGAGGCAGGCGGAAUUCCUAGUGUAGCGGUGAAAUGCGUAGAUAUUAGGAGGAACACCGGUGGCGAAGGCGGCCUGCUGGACUGUGACUGACGUUGAGGCCCGAAGGCGUGGGGAGCAAACAGG